rnacentral:lncRNA from 1 species
CUUAGUGUCGCUAGUAGCUUUCGGAUGUUGAAAGCUUUACGACUCCCAGUGAGUUGGUUUACGGUCGGUCUGGUUUCGAAUGUCGACUUGUAAAGUUGAUGUUUCGAUAGUAAUGGUUGUGAACUCGUGGUUCAGUGUUGAGGAAUCAAGUGGUUUGAUUCUUCGACGUGUCACACUUCCAACUCGUUGUUGGCAGUGGAUCUUCGGAUAGUUCGCUUCCUCUUUUGAUAAGUACAUUGGCUGCAGACAAUGUGCUGUCGAAAGAUGAAACGAAAUAUCUCCUUCCUGUUUGGGACUCAUGGAUUGGGUCGGUAUUUCUUUCCUCCGUAGAUAGUCUUGUGAGGAUGGUUGGGUAUCGGUCAUCCUUGACCACGUAGUGGGCCUUGGAUUCUCUUGGCAGGUUUGCGCAGUUGAUUUAUCAUCACUGCAGGUGGUUCUGACUCUGGUUCGAGUCUCGGUGUUCAUAGCUUUUAGUUGUGCUCCCAUUUAGCUAAAAGGUUUGUUGGUUAGUAGUUUCGGUCUGUUGUCUUGAGGUUCAGAAAUUUUGGUUGAGUGACUUGAGCCUAGUUGUUGGCUUUGAUUGUCACCGUAGGUGAUAUUGUGUAAGGAUUGUAUUUCGGCCUAUUGUGCGACUUUGGAAUUGUAUGCUUGUCCGGUUAAUUGGUGACAGGUGCGCCAGGGUCUCAAUGAGACAGUUAUCUGGUGUUGCUCGAAACACCGAUCGCUAGGGUCCCUUGUAGGACGGCAGCGACAGGGUCUCGUAGAGACAGGUGUUGAGCAUCACCGAUGGUUGGUAUCGUAUAGUGCGAUUGGCAAUCCUGUGCACCAAGUUUUGGACUUGCAUGGCGAGUUUAUUGGUUUAGUCGAACCAGUUUUAAUUGAGCAAGCGAAUUGUCGAGCUCAAUUAGUAUUGUCAGCCUUCGACCUUUUCGGUCAGGUGAAAGGUGAGGUUGUGGGACCUAAGACUGUCGAAUGUCAAAGGCGGCUUUCCGUGGAUGUGGACUUGACUUCGGCAGUUGCGUGAUCGGUUAGUGGGAGACUGUAGUCUCAGAGGCUGUUUCUACCGACUCGAGUUUUAGGAGAACGUUUCGUUUUCGCUCGUGGUGAGCAAGUUGAUAUUGUUGGCUAGUCGAAAAUAUUUUGCUCCGAUCUAGGUAAUUAGACUCCAGUUUGGUGGUGUUGGCUCGUGAUUCUUUCUCGUGAACUUAGUGACGUGGUCGAGUCGGUUGAGGCUUUUCGGACCAAGGUUACAGGAUGGUGUUGAUCCCGGUGUGUUAUGGUCCGCAGACUUUGGUUUGGUACGUUUCCCUCGUCUUGUUCUUGUGGAACCGCAGUCCUAUUCUCCCCUUUUCAGAGGUUGAUCUGUCCAAUUCUAGAAUUGUGACUGACCAGUAUCCAAAGGUGUUACCGCGUUGGUGGGGCAAUGUCAGAGUUCGUUUACGGUGGGUACGUGGUCAAGUUUCGAGGACGAAACUUCUUUUAAGGGGGGGAUGAUGUAAGGACUGAGAUUUUUGACAGUGCAACUAAACUCUCUGUUGAUGAUGUUUAUGUGUGUAAUUUAAUUACAUAAGCACUCGUCAAGUUUCAGGAGAAAAUGAGCUAAAAUGGAGAAGAUACGCGAUUUUUAGUUUUCACUUAAGUGAAUAGUAACUCCGGUUUUCCGGAGAAGCCACGGAGUAGAGUUGGCUUCUGGUGCGUAUCGGACUCCGUUCAUAUCAGUCCAAUAGCUCGUUUCGACCGGUUCAGCUGUUCUGGAACUAGUGGCGCUGAUGGAUUUUGAGUUUGACGCACGGAUUUCGAGAAAAUCCAAAAAUACAUGUUUUAUAUGUAUUUGUGUGUGUGUUUCCUUCUAUUGGAAGAAGGUUGGAUUUUGUUGUGAAUCCGUGGUCGAUCGAGAUGAAUCGAAAGUGUAGCUUUGUUGUCUCCGAGGUGCUGAUCGCACUGGUGCAAUCCGUUCGCAAAUCUGACGGACGGAUCUGCGGAGAUCGCGCGUUGAUCGAGGAGAGGUCGGUGAUGGCAAAACGGUAAUUUCGCAAAAGUUGCGACAUUUUAUGUACCGUUUCGCGUGAAAUCGCACGUGGAGGGGUUUAUGCACGUUUUAUUCGUGCGGUGAGGGACUAAGAUUAAAUGGUUGAGUCUUGGAGGACUUUUCGGCAAAAUUACACUUACAUUUAUAAGUUGAUGUUAGAUUUUUUUGCUUGGAAACCCUAACCCUAGGUCGUUCCUGCUAGCCCUAGUCCACCAGCCGCCUCAGCCAUCUCCUGCCCUCCCCGUGCGCAUGCUCCGGCCGCCGGCGAGCUCCUCCGGCCGCCGGAAAUCCCUGCAUCACCUCUCUCUCUCUCCCUUUUGGCCAACCCCUUCACCGCAUUGUGGUUUGCGGACCCUGGUAGCCACCUAGCUCGAGCACCUUUGUCCCCUGGCCGUGGCCCAGCCUUCGGCGACUCCCCUCGUCGCCGCCGUCGUCCCUGCGCACGCCGCCGGAGCCGCCCCAGCUCUCUGCGGCCACCUGCAUGCACCCAGGCCGAGCUUGGGUCAUCUUUGCAUCCGCGCGCCGCCACCGCUCCCUAUCGGCCGCGCCGCCCUCUGGCGACCUCCGGCGACCUCGCGCGCGCCUCCCCGCCGUCCCCGCACGCCGCCGGCCGCCACCCGAGCUCUCUGCGGCCGUCCCGAGCGCGUGCGGGCCCUGCUUGGACCAGUACGGCCUUCGAGGGCCGCCGCCGCCCACCGUCGGGAGCACCACCUCCUCCUCGACCUCCGCCGACGUACCGUCGCCGCCCCGACCUCCUCCGACCGCCGCCACGCCGCCGGGAAGCAUUGAACCCGAGAGCAAGAGAUCGAGUUGAUCUCCUCCGCCGCGCAACUGGCCGCCUCCCGCCGCCGGCCAGCAGGUGCCCCGGACUCCACCGACCGGCCGCACCCUCCCCUGGCCGGGCCGCCCGCCGUCCAGCCACCGGCGGCCAACCCUAGCUCUCCCCUGGCCGGUAAGCUUGUUUUCAGCCUUUCUGCGCAGUGUUUCCUGUUCUACUCACUGUUCCGGCGACCUGAGGCUGUUCCGAUGCCUCCGGAGGUGAGCACGGUGAUCGUCAGUCAGUCCUGAUCACAGUGCUCACCUCACUUAGGGUCAACGAGCCCCUGGUUAGCGAGAUAAGCAUGCUUUUCCUACUGUGCGCGCUGUUUCACUAAUUUUGCGUCGCCCGUGCGCGUGCCACAGUGGCCGGCAGUGCUCCGAAAGGUGAGCACGGCCUCCGGCACGCCGAGACCAGUCAGCGGGAGUCUCGUCUUGGCUGUUUGACCUCUGGUUUGCGUUGUCGGACCAUAAAAGCGCCGAAAUCGCAUGAAAUAAUGCGAUUUCAGGUAUUCAGGAGGGCUUUUAUGCAUUUUGGUUCGUCGUAGCUGCUGUUGGCAGCAAGUGUUGGUUGAGGAUAACCUCUGGACUGAUUGUCCAAGGCCCCAGACCCUUGCGAAGAUCGGAAAUGCAUUUCCGGUGCGUUUUUCGGCGAAAUCCGCCGACGGAACGCGGGUUCGGUUCGGAAUUAUUCCGACGGUGCUUCGUGAGCUUUUGCGUAGUCGCUGAGCCUUGUUGGCUGGUCACUUGCGUCAUUUCGAGAGUUCGGAAAUGACGGGUGAGCGACGGUGGGUUCCGGUGUCGAAUUAGACACUUCCGGGAACCCGAAUCGAAACGAUUAUCCGACGAUAAUUGUUUCGACACGAGGAGUUGUGUUCGCUGCCAUGAUGCAUGAUUAUUUAUGUUUAGUGGCAGCAGGUGACUCGUAGCUCGAGUCGGUAUGUUCCGGGACAGUUCGUGGCUCCCGGCGGAGUCCCCGUGCGAUUACGGGACUUCCGGCGUAUUACGGCGAUCGGUUUGGGAAACCGAUCUCCAUGGGUUUGCUUGUAGGUUGUGGAUCUAGUGGUUAUUAGCUGUGGGUUAGACACUAACCCGGUGGACCUUCCUUAGGUCCGGUUGACGUCCUUUUGCAGUCAGGAGACAGGCGCAGCAUUUGUACAGGUGGGUACUUCGAUCCGAAGUCGGUACAGUGGUGCACGCUCGGUGAUAUUUCUUCUAUCCCUGUUCUUCUGUUGCUAUUUUCGUAUUAUAUAUUGAGCUUGCAUCCCCGUUGUUUCUAUUAUACUCUACUCAUAUGUUUCUAUGCUUAGUAUCAUGUGUAGGAGUAGAGUAGUUUAUCCAUAUGUGAUACCGGUGACCUGAUUGGUCGGUUCUCGUACUUUGUUCCGGUGACCUGAUUGGUCGGUUCUUGUACUUCGUUUCGGUGACCUAGUUGAUCGGUGCUUUUAUCUUAUAUCUGUUGACCUGGUUGGUCGGUUGUUGCAUUAUGUAUUGGGUUGGUCUGUUUCUUGACUUCUGUCGUUCGAUGACCUUUGAGGUCGGUGUACCCUGAGGGGUAGGAUUGUCGGCUGGUGCUGACGGUAGUUCUGGACUAUAUCGAAUACACUCCUGUGACCUAUCGGUCGGUUCUUGCGUUCGUACUUUUAGUUGACAUCGAGCAGUAUCUACAUACUAUCUUUAUUUACUCUGCCUGGUUGUUCUAUGUGUAGUAUCCUGUAUAGGGGUAGAGUAGAUGGCAUUCGUAUAUACUAUACUUGUGACCUGGUUGGUCGGUUCUCCUAUUUGCAUCGGUGACCUGUUUGGUCGUUCGUUACUUUCCGUACAUUGACCUAUCUCGGUCGGUUCACGUUGUUACUUGAUGACCUACACGGUCGGUAUGCCCAGAGGGGCAGUGAUUGUCGGCUGAUUGCCGACGGUUGGCUAUUGAUCAUAUCCGCAUUGAUCGCCACAGCUCGAGUGCAUUUCACGUACACCAGCGGGUUGAUCCCCCGCAGGAGGGUGUUCUUUUCCGGAAAAGUGGUCGUACAUCCGACCCGUGAGCCCAGCGGUGUUCUCUUUGUGCUAGGGUUACAUGCCAGGUGUGAGCAGGUAGUGGCUUUUGCCUGAGGUCCUUAGACCGACACGGCGGUUUAGAUUGGGUACUUUUGGACUUCUCGUCCGGUUGACGCAUAUAGCUAUAGUAGCGGUUGUUGCAUAUGUACUUCUAGUUCUUUCUUUACAGUUGUCUUGCUACUAUAGUUUUGAUAUCCUUGUAUGCUUGCAGUUGUACAUUACAGUAGCGGUAGUUGUGUUUUUAUAUAUAUAUAUCUCAUUCGUUCAUUAUCGUUGCUACUGUAUUUUACUUACCCAUACUGUUGUUUAUCUCUUCCUGAUCCGGUGAGUACUCCUCGCCUUCUUCGGCUUGCGGUACCCACUGGGAGGGGAGACAUGUUUACAUGUUCUCACCUCCCCCACUAUUUUUCAGGUAUCGCAGGCGAUGUGUAUUGGGACGAGACGUGAGGUACGUUCGUAGUGGUCGAUAGAGCUUCCGACCCAGGUUGUUCGGUUUAGUUUCUUACCCUUCUUAUUUCGGUCGAUGUAUAGUUUAGUUGGUUUAUGUGGUUCAGUAUUUAUUUACAUUUGAAAAUGUGGAUUUCUGGAUUUUGUAAAAUAAAAGGUUUUCUACCCCUCGUGGUAGCGUUUUUAACGAAUAAAGGUUUCCGUGUAGGAAACAGUUUUCAAAAGGACUUUUCGUGGAUUUCUGUUUAAACAUUGAAUAUAAAACGGUGAUGUGAAUGGUGAACGUAUGAAUGUAUAGUUAUCUUUAUAUUCAUCUAGUGGUGGUUGUAUCCUGGUUGUACUCUUGUACUUGUGCGACGCCGUGCAAAUACAGGGGAGACUCUGUCCGGGUGAACAGUGGAUCUCCUGUAUUUGUGGCGGAUCUGGCAUACUCUGGGGCCAAGUUUUUUUUUUUAAAAAAAAAAUUUCAGACGCUUUUCCGCUAUCUUUUAAACUGAAAGAGACCCCGGGGCUUGACAACAACCUGGGUCGGAUGAUCUAUCGACCGCUACGUACGUAUCUCGCGUUUCGUCCCAAUACACACUGCCUGCGAUACCUGAAAAAUGGUGGGGGAGGUGAGAACAUGUAAACAUGUCUCCCCUCCCAGUGGGUACCGCAAGCCGAAGAAGGCGAGGAGUACUCACCGGAUCAGGAAGAGCUAUACAACAACACGGGUCAGUGGAAAUACAGUAGGAACAAUAGUAAGCAAAAGAGAUGUAUAAAGUAAUAAGCAGAUAUACUAAAUAUAGUAGCAAUAAACUGACAGAAAGUAAGAACUAGACUGAACAACGGCUACCGCUACUGUAACUGGAACCGAAAGCAUACAUGAAUAUCUACUAUAGUAGCAUGACAACUAUAAAGUAAGAACUGUAAAUAUUCAUGCACGACUGCUACUAUAGACAUAUGCGUCAACUGACGAUAAUCUCAUGCACGACUGCUACUGUAGACAUAUGCGUCAACUGACGAUAAUCUCAAAAGUACCCAAUCUCGUUGCCCUAUUGGUCCGAAGACCUCAGGCCCAUGCCACACUGCUCAACCUGUUCCUGACCCUCGCAAUGAAGCCCCUGGGUCAGAAGCAUAGUACCUGACCCUCGCAAUGAAGCCCCAGGGUCAGAAGCAUAUACCCUCGCAAUAAAGCCCCUGGGCUCAUGGGUUGGCAAUCCAACCACUUUUCCGGAAAAGAACACCCUCUUGCGGUGGAUCAGACCGCUGGUGUUCGUGAAAUGCGUACCUGCAGUGGCGAUCAAUGUAGUAUGCUCAAAGAUCAUCCAUCGGCAACUAGCUGACAAUCAAGCCCCUCAGGGCACANNNNNNNNNNNNNNNNNNNNNNNNNAAAGAGAGAGAAUAUCGAUGCGGUUGAAUCCCCCGCAGAGAGGGUGUUCUUUUCCGAAAAUGGUCGUUACAUGCGCGACGGGAGCCCCAAGCGUCGUUCUCUUGUUGCUAAGGGUUUAGAUGCAUGGUCGAGCAGGGUAGUGGCUUUUGCCUGCAGGUCUCUUAAAACCGACAGCCGGUUUAGAUUGGUACUCUGGCUACUUUCCGUUGAACGCAUAUAAUCAUAGUACAGUGGUCACUGGUUAUCUUCAGUUUCUUCGUCGUCAUUUGUCUUGCUAUCUAUUAGUCUCUGCUUACAUUGUAUACAGUUCAUGUUGUUCAUUACAGUACAGGCGGUAGUUGUAGCUUUCUUUCAUUUAAUAUGUCUCUUUCAUUCAUUAUUAUUGCUACUGUAAUUUUCUACUUGACCGUAACUACUGUGUUUAGGCUCUUCCUGUCGUGAGUAUCUCGCGCUUCUUCGACUUGCGAUCUACUGGGAGGGGAGAACAUGUGUUUACAUGUUCUCACCUCGCCCCACUAUUUUUCAGUAUCGCAGCGAUGUGUAUUGGACGAGGACAGUGAGGUACUUCGUAAUGGUGAUUAGAGCUGUUCCGACCAGGUUGUUCGGAUUAUUCUUACCCUUCUGUAUUUUCGGUCGAUGUAUAGUUUAUUGCGUUUAUUAGUGGUUCAGUUAUUUAUUUACAUUGAAAAUGUGGAUUUCUGAUUUUGUAAAUAAAAGGUUUUCUACCCCUCGUGGUAGCGUUCGUUUAACGAAUAAAGGUUUCGCUGUUAGGAAACGUUUUCAAAAGAUUUUCGUGGAUUUCUGUUUAAACAUUGAAUUAAAACUGUGAUGGGAAUUGGCUGAACGUAUAUGAAUUGUAUAGUUAUCUGUUAAUUUCAUAGCUGGUAUGUUCUGUUGCGGUUGUACUCUCCAUGUAUUGUGCAACGCGCCGUGCAAAAUACUUCGCGGAGACUCUGUCGGCAGUGAACAGUGGCAUCUCCUGUAUUUGUGGCGGAUCUGGCAUCACUCUGGGCCAGUUUUUUAAAAAAAAAAAGAUUUCAGAGAUGCGUGCGUCUGGAACGAGGCGGGGGGGGGGGGGGGGCGGGGCGUGGAAGCGGUUUAAAGAAGGAUCCCCGGUGCAUAUGGUUCAGAGAACGAAGAGCACACAACACUCGAUUCACAGGUUUGUUGGAAAACGUAAAUGAAAUCUGAGCCAGUUGUUAGGUUGACCUAUAGGAAGACCUCGGUAUAUAGCGCAGUUGGCGCGGGUUGGGUCUUGUGUCCGCGUCUGGUAUUCGAGUUUGGUAAACUCGAGGUGUGCAGGGUUACUUCUAUUCGUACUCGUUUUCUUAGGCACAAGCUACGUGUCUAAGGUCGGAGUAGUGGAGGUGUACUUUUUCCGACAUCGAGUGGUAGGGCGACUUCCCCCAGGUGGUGCCACUCCUUGUCAAGCUGGGGGCCUCGAAGGGCCAGGGAGAUUUGUGGCAAUAGCGCGUAUUUUACUGCCGAUCCCGGGCACACUCUUCCUACUUAGACACUGUGGCAGACUGCGAGCUGUCUCUACGGAGAUGCAUUGAGAACCUGUUAAGGUCGCGGACUCCGUGGGCUACGUAGGUGCGUAGCCCAGGUAGUGGGUUGCGGCUCUGUUUAGCGACGGAUGGAGUCGUGUUAGUUGUGUCGCCUGAUCUUGGUGGUGGUGGUUGAUGUUACUCUUUCCUUUGAUUGACGAUGAAGUCACGGCGUUUGGAUCUUUGGACUUUAUCUCGUGUUCUUGUGGACAUCGCCGAAUUACAUGUACUGAUGUUGGAUUGAUACAGUUUUGAGUUAGGUCUUGUAUGUUGCAUAUACAUCGUAUGGCGAAUUUAUUCUAACACUAUUGUUGUGUUGUGGUUUAGUCCUGAUAGUUUGUGGUAUUGGUUCGUUGUAUUGUCGAAGUUCUCGGAGCUUGAUUAUAGCCGGUCUAUGGUGCUGAAAUUGGUUUAGAGAAAACGCAUUUUCCUGAAGCAGCCUCAGUGGUACUGUUCGCCAGCUUAUUGUCGCUAGCAGCUUUCGGAUGUGUGAAAGCUUUGCGACUCCAGUGAGUGGUUACGUCGGUCUGGUUUCGCAAUGUCCGACUUGGUAAAGUUGAUGUUUCGAUAUUAAUGGUUGUGAACUGUGUUUCCAGUGUUAGGAAUCAAGUGGUUUCGAUUCUUCGAGCGUGUCAGACUUCAACUCGUUUUGGGCAGUGGAUCUUCGGAUAGUUGCCUUCCUCUUUCUUGAUAAGUACAUUGGCCGGCAGACAAUGUGCUGUCGCAAAAGAUGAAACGAAAUAUCUCCUUCUGUUUCGGUAUCAUGGUAUUGGGUGGAGUUAUUUCUUUCUCCGAGUAGUGAUAGUCUUUGAGGAUGGUUGGGUAGCUCGGUCACCUUGACACGUAAUGGGCCUUGAUUUCUUGCAGGUUGCAGUUGUAUUUAUCACUCAAUGUGGUUCGACUCUGGUUCGCAGUCUCGGUGUUCAUAGGCUUUUAAGUUGUGCUCCCAUUUAGCUAAAAGGUUUGUUGGUUAGUAGUUUCCCGGUCUGUUGUCUUGUACGGUUCAGAAAGUUUUGGUUGACAGUGACUUGAGCCUAGUUGUGGCUCUUGAUUGAUCACCGGUAGGUGAUAUUGUGUAAAGAUUGUAUUUUCGGCCUAUUGUGCGACUUUGGAAUUGUAUGCUUGAUCCGGAAUUAAUUGUGACGUCGCGCCAGGGUCUCAAUGAACAGUCAUCUGGUGUUGCUCGGAAACACGAUCGCCUUAGUCCCUUGUAGGAGCGGCAAGGACAGGGUCUCGUAGAGACAUGUGUUUAGCAUCACGCGAUGGUUGGUAUCCGACUGUGUAUUGGCAAUCCUGUGGCACCAGUUUUGGAUUGCAUGGUGGGUUAUGUUGAUUUAGCUCGAACCAUUAUAUUGAGGCAAAACAAAUUGCGAGCUUUUUCCAAUUAUUACUUGUCAUCUUCGACUUGUUUCUUUUUUUUUGGUCAGGUGAAAGGUGAGUUUGUUGGGACCCUAUAUGUCGAGUCAAGGACGGCUUUCUCCGUGGUGAUCUUGACUUCGGCAUUGUGUGGUUCGGAUAGUGGGAAUCUGUAGUCUCAGGAGGCUGUUACUUAGCGGACUCGAGUUUUAGGAGAACGUUUCCGUUUCUGCCUGGUGAGAGUUGAUAUUGUUGGCUAGUCGGUGAAUACUUUGUCUGUCUUAGAGCGUAAUUUAGAUACCAGUUAUGGUGGUGUUUGGUUUGUGAUUCUUUCUGUGAACUUAGUCGAGCGUGGUCGAUCGGUUGGAGGCUUUUCGGACCAAGGUUUGCGGAUGGUGUUGAUCCGGUGUGUAUAUGGUCCGCUAGACUUGGGAUUGGACGUUUCCCUCUGUCUUGUUCUUGUUGACCGCAAGGUCUAAUUCUCCGCUUUCUGAGGUCUGUGAUCUGGUCCCAAUCUGAGCAUUGUGACGGACAGUAUCCAAAGGGUUACCACAGUGGUGGAGCAAUGUCAAGUUCGUUUACGUGUGGGUACUGUGGUCAAAUUUCGAGACAAAACUUCUUGUAAGGGGGGGAUGAUGAAGGACUGAGAUUUGGACCAGUGCUGACUAAACUCUCUGUGAUGAUGUUUAUGCGUGUGUAAUUUAAUUACAUAAGCAGCUCGUCCAAGUUUCAGGAGAUCUGAGACUAGAUAUGGAGAGUUCGCAUCUCCAAGUUUUCACUAGUGAAUUAUUAACUCGAUUUUUUUUCUUCGAGAAUGCCACGACUGUGAAGUUGCUCAGGCCUUGUACGACUCCGUUCAUUAGCGGUCCAAUAGCUCGUUUCGAGUGGUUCGGCUAUUCUGGAACCAAAUGCACUGACUGAUUUGAUUCUGAUGCACGGUUGUCGAGAAAAAGGGGUUUGAUCGCGUUACAUAUAGAAAUAUAUUGGUUUUGUAGUUGAAUCCCGAUGAGGGUGGUUUCGUCGUGAAUCGCGAAACCAAAUCGGCAUGAAACGAAAUACUAGAUUUUUUCUGGAAACACCAUCGUGUGAGCGUGCUGACGCGACCGCGUCUGGAAUAUCGACGGGACGGAUUUCUCGGGAAUCGCCAAUCGAUUCGCUAGGGGCGUUUGAAAUUGGCAAAACGGAAAGAUUGAGGCCAAAACCUAAUAUUUUAUUGACCGUUUUGCGUGAAUUUGAGGUUGAGGUGCAUUACGGGGACGCAGUUGACGCUGGGCCUGGCAAGGACUGGAUUGAAAUUAAUCACUUUGAGGGACCUUUUUGCAAAAACAUUACAUAAUUAUAUGAUGCCAUGGCUUUUCAUGGUGAAACCCUGAGCUCCUGGGCUUCUUCACUCAGCCGACUAACCUAGCCGACCUAAGCUCGACCCAGCCCUUGCCGUGCUCUGCACCUCACGCCGUCGGCGAGCCAACGCCGGCCGCCGAAAAAGGCUAGUCAAUAUGCUUUCUCCCAUCUUCCUCUCACCGUGCUGUUUAUUUCCUGGCCUGGAUCACCCUGAGGUCGUCCCACUAGAGUCGUCCCCCUCCCUUCAGGCGCCAACCUCCGCCAGCUCACCGCACGGUCCGAACGCCGCGCGCCGCCGUCGCAGCCUGGCGACCCGCGGCCAGCAAGGAGCCAAGCUCUGCGCCGAGGCAACUUGCAUUCCUCCCGCGCCGCCACCGCGCCGGCGACCACGCGGGGGACGACUUCCUCCGGACCUCCGGCACCUCCGGUAGGCCGCCGGAGUGGUCGCCGUCCGCCCGCCCUGCGCGGCUAGGGCGUCGCCGCGGCUACCCUCGGCAGAACUGUAUCGGGCGGCGAGCUUGGGUUCUUGGGCCAUCACCGCCGUCGCGCAUCCUUCUUCUCCUCCUUCGACGACCUCAGUGACUUCUCGCGCCGCACCGCAGGUGCCCCGAUCGCACGAGGCCGGCCCGGAAACACCGAAGCCGAGCGCGCUCGGAUGGCGGGCUUGUGUUGCACGCCGCCGCCCGCGCUCUCGCCGCCGGGCGUGCGCGAUGCAUUGGCCCUCACUGGCCUACCGCACUCGCCAUCUGCCGCCGGGGUCGCGCGCCGACCUCCAGCGGCGAGCUUCAGGGGCCGAGCUUCUUCCUUCACUCGUACGGCUAGGGCAUCAUUUGCCCGUCACUGGGCCUCCUGUCGCCCGCCAGCACAUCGCCCCGGCCCCUCCUGUCGUCAGCACCUUUCCUGACACCGGCGGGCGGCUUGCUUACCGGCCGCCGCCGGCCCGUACCGUAGCUCCAGUGGCCGGUAAGCAUAUUUUAGCCUUCUGCGCGUGUUUCUGUUCCGGCCACUGUUUUGGUGACCCGAGCCACUCCAGAGUCUCCCAAAUUGAGACACGAUGAUCCUUGUUUCAGUGCGAUCAUUCGUGGCCCUCCGUUCGGGGUCAACGAUCCCUUGGUUUGCGAGUUUGAUGCAAUGUAAGCCUGUGGCGCCGCUGUUUCGCGAGGUUUCGCGUACGUGUGUGCACCUUGCCACAAGGGUUGGCAGUGCUCGAAAGGUGAGCACGGCCAACAGCACGUCGAAACCUGUCAGGCGGUACUUGCGCUCGGCAGUUUGACACUCUGGUUGCUGUAGUUGGACGCCGUAAAAGCGCCGCGAAAUCGCAAUAAAUAAUGCGAAUUCUCAGGUAUUUCGGAGGGCUUUUACGUUAUUUUGGGUUGUUGCGCUGCUGUUGGGCAGCAUGGUUGAGCAGUGGGGGGUACCUCUGACUUGAUUUGUCCAAGGCCCCAGACCCUUGCGAAAUUUUGAAAAUGCAUUUCCGGUGCGUCUUUCGGCGAAAUCUGCGACGGAAUGAUGGAGUUCGGUUCGGAAUUAUUUCGGACUGUGCGCUCGUAAGCUUUUGCGUAGUCGCUGAGCCUUGUGAGCUGGUCACUUGCGUCAUUUCGAGAGUUCCGGAAAUGAACGGUGAACGAUCGGCUGGCGUUUCCGGUGGUCGAAUUAUGACAUCUCCGGACCGAAUCGAAACGAUUAUCGACGAUAAUUGUUUCGACCGGGAGUGUGUGUUCGCUGCAUGAUGCACGAUUAUUUAUGUUUUAGUGGCAGCAGGUGACUCUAGCUCGAGUCGGUAUGUUCCGGGACAGUUUUUCGUGGCUCCCGGCGGAGUCCCUGCGAUUACGGGACUUCCGGCGUAUAUGUACGCGAUUCGGUUUUGGGACCGAUCUCAACUGGUUGCAUUGUAGUUUUGUGCGAUUAUAGUGGCUUUUAGCGUGGUUAGGACAGCUAACCGCGGUGGACCUCCUCCUUAGUUCGUGUUGACGUCCUUUUGCAGUUAGGAGACAGGCGCAGCAUAUUGUACAGGUGGUACUUCGAUCCGAAGUCGUUCAGUGGUGCCCUCGUGACUUUUCUUCAUCCCUGUUCUUCUGUUGUUAUAUCACUAAUAUAUUGAGCAUUGCAUCCCUAUUAGUUGCUGUUGUACUCUACUCAUAUGUUUCUAUGCUUUGGUAUCAUUGUAGGAGUAGCAGUAGUUUAAUCCAUACGUCAUUUCAGAAUGACUACCUGAUUGGUCGGUUCUUGUAACUCGUUCGGGAAUGAUUGGUUCGGUUUCAGCACUUUGUUUCGGUUGACCUGAUUGGUCCCGUUCUCGUACUCACAUUUUGUACCUGGUUAGUCGGUUCGGUUAGCACUGUUGACCUUAUCCGAUCCAUUCAUUGACAUUCAGUCGUUUGAUGACCUAUUGAGCGUCGGUGUACCCUGUGGGGUAGGAUUGUCGCUGUCUCGCGGUAGCUCUGGACUAUAUCGAUUACACUCCUUGUGACCUAUCGGUCGGUUCUUGCGUUCGUACAUCUAGUUGACAUCGAGCAGUAUUUACAUACUAUCUUUAAUUUACUCUGCCUUGGUUGUUUCUAAGUGUGUAUCCUGUAUAGGGGUAGAGUAGCAUGCGCAUUCAUGUUUACUAUAAUUUGUGACCUGGUUGGUCGUUCUCUGUUUGCAUCUGUGAUAUGUUAUGGUGUCUUACUUUCCGUACAUUGACCUAUCUCGGCUCGGUUCACGUUAUUACUGCAUGACUACACGGUCGGUAGUCCCAGAGGUGGCAGUGAUUGUCGGCCUGGUCGCCGACGGUGGUCAUUGAUCAUAUCCGAAUUGAUCGCCACAAGCUCGGCGUGCAUUCGACGACACCAGACGGUUAUCUCCCCGCAGGAGGUGUUCUUUUCGGAAAAGUGUCGUUACAUUCGACCACUAUGAGCCAGCGGUGUUCUCUUUUGGCUAGGGUUACAUGCUAGGUGGGUAGCAGGUAGUGGCGGUUUGCCUAGGUCCUUAGAGCCGACACGGGGUUUACGAUUGGGUACUUUUGGACUACUUGUCCGCUUGACGAUAUAAACAUAGUAGCAUGCGCACCUUGUAUAUAUCAUUUCUUUCGUUACAUUGUCUUGCCUACUUAUAGUCAUUGUUACAUUAUCACAUUCAGUUGUUAUUACGUAGCGGUAGUUGACUUUCUUUAUUUAUAUGUCUCUUUCAUUUCAUAUUAUAUGGCUACUUGGUAUUUUCUACUGACCGUACUGUUGUUUAGCUCUUCACUGAUCGGUGAGUACUCAUCGCCUUCUUCGCUUGCGUACCACACUGGGAGGGGCAGAGCAUGUACAUGUUCCCACCUUCCCACUAUUUUUAGGUAUCGGUAGGCGAUUGUGUAUUGGACGAGACGUGAGGGACGUUUCGUUAGUUGGCGAUAGAGCUUCCGGACCCAGGUUGUUCGAUUAGUUUCUUAGCCCUUCUUUAAUUUCGGAUCGAUGUAUAGUUUAGUUGGUUUAUGUGGUUCAAGUAUUUUAAUUUACAUUUGAAUAAUUGUGGAUUCUGAUUUUGUAAAAUAAAUAGGUUUUCUACCCCCUGCUGGCUGCGUUUUAACGAAUAAGGUUUCCGUGUAGAAACAGUUUCAAACGGACUUUUCUGUGGAUUUCUGUUUAAAAUUGAAUAAUAUAAAACGGUGAGAAUGGAGAACGAUGAUGUAAUAGUUUAUCUUUAUAUUCAUCUAGUGGCUGGUUGCUUAUCCUGGUGUGUAACCUGUGUACUUUUGUGCGAAACGCCGGUGCAAAUACGGGGAACUUCUGUCCGGUGUGACAUGCGUCUCCAUGUAUUUGCUGGCGGAAUCUGGCAUACUCUUGAGGGACCACAAUUUUUUUAUUUUAAAAAAAAAAUUUCAGCACGCUGUUUCCGCUAUACGUUUUAAUUAACUGAAAAGAGACCGUGCAAGGCUUGACAACAACAGCUGGGUCGGAUGAUCUAUCGCGCAUACGUACUAUCUCGCGUUUCGUCCCAAUACAACACUGGCCCGCGAUUCACCUGAAAAAAUGUGGGGGAGGUGAGAACAAGUGCUAAACAUGUCUCCCCCUCCAAAGUGGUACCGCAAGCCGGAAGGCACGAGUACUCACCGUGAUCAGCGAAGAGCCUAUACAACAACACGGCGUCAGUGAAAUACAGUAGGAAAAUAGUAAGCAAAAAGAGAUUUAUAAAGUAAUAAGCCAGUAUAUACUAAAUAUAGUAGUCAAUAAACUGACAGAAAGUAAGAACUAGACUGAACAACGGCUACCCGCUACUGUAACUGGAACCGAGAAAGAUACAUGAAUAUAUACUAUAGCUGCGAUGACAACUAUAAAGUAAGAACUGUAAAUAUUCAUGUCACUGACUGCUAAUAAUAGACAUAUGCGUCAACUGACGAUAAAUCUCACGCGACGACUUGUACUGUAGACAUUGCCGUCAACGUGACAUACAUCGUCAAAAAGUACCCAAUCUCGUUGCUUUGGUCCGAAGACCUCAGGCGCCAUGCACACGCUGCCAACUGUUCCUGACCUCGACGAAUGAAGCCCCUGGGUCAGAAGCAUAGUACCUGACCCUAACGCAAUCGAAGCCCAGGCGCAGAAGAAUAUACCACUCGCAAUAGCCCCUGGGUCAGUGGUGGCAUCCAACCACUGUUUCCGGAAAAAACACCUCUUGCGGUGGACUCAGGACCGCGCUGAUGUUCUGUGGAAAUGCUACCUGCAGCUGGCCGUAUCAAAUGUAAGUAUGCUCAAAAGAUCUUCCAUCGGCAACUAGCCGACAAUCCAGCCCCUCAGGGCCACACGACCGUAUAGGCCGCAUCAACUAACUGGUCGGCUACGUAUGUCAAGAUAGGAACUGAACAACUCGACCAGAAUAGGUCAUAUAAGUAUCUAAAAUAGAGGGAACCGCACCAACAUCAAACAGAUUGGAACAGAUAAGCGACUCUUACUCCCUAGAGCAUGAUUAUCAAUCAUGGAACCAUCGAACCGCAUGGGUUAUCAUGUAACCAAACGACCAAGCCCAGGUCACAAGUAUAUAAUCUAGAAACCUUACCGUGCGCCAUAGCCGAAAGUCUGACCCUAGGGUACACCGACCUAAACAGUCAUCGGAUACAGAAGUCAACGGACGACAAAUCCAUACUGAUACAUGAGGUACAAGAAACCACCAACCAGGUCACAAGUGUAGGAGAUGCAACGUCGACCAACCAGGUCAUGGAGAUCACAUAGGAGAUCAGACCAACCAAAUCAUAAAUAUCAUAUACAGAUAAAGUCUACUCUACUCCUACACAUGAUACUACACCUGGCAACAACUAAGUAGAGAGUAAUAAGGAAACAGCAUGGGUGCAAGGCUCAACAUAUAUAUAUGGCGAAAGAUAUAAACAACAAGGGUAAAGGAAACGUCACCGAGCGUGCACCACUGUACCAACGUCGGAUCGAAGUACCCACAUGUACAACUGUCGCGCCUGUCUCCUGACUGCAAAAGAACGUCAACAGGACAUAAGGGGGGUCCACUGGGUUAGUGUCUAACCCACAACUAAGAAACCCUAAAAGCAUAACCCCACAAAUAAACCCACGAGAAUCGAUUUCCUAAAACCGAUUACCGAACAAACCAAAAGUCCCAAAAACCGCACCGGAACUUCACCGUCGCUCACCCGUCGUUUCCAAACCCACGAAACGAUGCGGGUGACCAGCCAACAGGGCUAAGCGAUGAAACAAAUGAUCCCCAAGUACCGUCGGAAGAAUUCUGAAUCGAAAACGCGUUCUAUCGGCGGAUUUCGCCAAAAAACGCUCGGGAAAUGCAUUUUCGGUCUUCGCAAAGGUCCGGGGCCUUGGACAAUCAGUCCGGAGGUUAUCCUCAGCCCAUACUUGCUGCCAACAGCAGCCACGACGGACAAAGUUGCAUAAAAGCCCUUCCGAAUACCCGAAAUCGCAUUAUUUCAUGCGAUUUCGGCGCUUUUAUGGUCCGUUUACGCAAACCAGAGAUCAAUCAGCCGAGUCAAAAUACCCACUGACAGGUUUCGACGUGCCGGAGGCCGUGCUCACCUUUCGGAGCAAUAUCGGCCACAGCGGAGAGCGCGGGAGUGACGCGAAAAUCUGCGAACAGCGCGCACAGCAUGAAGAACAUGCUUAUCUCGCAAAUCAGAAGCUCUCAGACUCCAAUGUAGGUGGCCACGAUGAUCAGCACUGAACCAGGAUCAUCGUGCUCACCUUCAGAGGACUCGGGGUGGCCUCGGUUCACCGGAACAAUGAUCGGAACCCCAAGACAAGGUGCAGAAUAAUUGCAAUACAAGCUUACCGGAGCUAGGCAGGGCUCGGGGUGGCCGGCGGCGGCCGGACGGCGGGCAGGCCGGCUAGGGGAAGGUGCUCCAGGUCAGAGGAGGCCGGGCGUCGCGUCAACAGGCGACGGGAGGCGGCGGCGACGGCGGGCAACGAUGCCCUAGUCGCACAACCCGAGGAGAGCAUGGGCUCACCACGGUUGAUAGGGAGCUCCGGCGGCGGGUUAGCCGGCGGUGGACGGGUGCGGCCGGCCAGGCGGAGCCGGCGAUCACGCUGGCCGGCGGCGGAAGGCGGCGAUGGCGGCGCUGGAACAACCCCAGCCCGCGCGGGUUCACCUCGGCUCCUAGGGCAGCGGCGGCCACGGCGGCAACCGGAGGAGGGUCGGGGCGACGACGGCACGUCGCCGGAGGUGGAGUAAGGGCGACUCGGCCGGCGGGGAACGGCGGCGGCGUACGGAGGCAGAGCUAGCCCCGGCUCGACCCGCACUCGGUCUGGGCGGCCGCAGAGAGCAGGGGCGGCGGCCGGCGGCGUCGGGAGCGGCGGCGAUGGCGCGCAGAUCACACCGAAGGCUAGAUGAGGCAGGGCGGCCGAGCUAGGGCUGCUACGGCUCGCAAGCCUCGAGCUAAGGUCUGCUCGGGCCGAGCUCAUCUGGGUUGCCCGCGGCUUGCUUGGGCGGUGCCGGCGCCGGAGAGGGAGAUAUCUUCCCAGGAAACUUCCAAGAGGGUCUGUGGUCGCUUCCCCAGCAACUUCGGCAGAGAGGAGGAGAGGGUUGCCGAGAGGGGAGGAGAGGAAGAUGACCAUGAGUUUUCCGGCGGCCGGAGUUGCUCGCCGGAGGUCUGAGCACUAGCACAGGUAGGGCAGGGACCUACUGGGGCUAUCUAGGGCACGGUUGGGGAACUAGGUCGGCUAGAUCUAGGGUUUCUUGCAAAAGAACCCUAGAUGCACAUUGUAUGCAAUGUGCAAAUUGCACAAAAGUCCACCUGAACUACAAAUUUCAACCCUAGUCCUUCACAAUGGGUAACUUUCGCGCUUUUGCACCUCCACAAUCGAUCUCGCGCGAUUCGGUACAUAAAAUAUUACGACUUUUGCGAAUUUCCCGAUUUUCCACUCUCGACCCCUUAGCCAACUUAUUGCAAUUCCCAAAGAUCCGUCCAUCGGAUUUCCGAUCGGAUCAUGCCAACGCAUUCAGCACGUCGAGGCAUCGAAUCUAGCAUUUCGUUUCGUCAGAUUUGAUUUCCGAUUCACGACAAAAUCCAUUCUCUCUCCAAAAGGCCAAAAUGAUGCACAAUUACAUAAGAAACAUGUAUUUUCAGAUUUUCUCGAAAACCGUGCAUCAGAUCUAAAAUCCGUCAGUGCCAUUGGUUCCAGAAUAGCUGAACCGUUCAAAACGAGCUAUUGGAUCGCUAUGAACGGAGUCCGAUACGCGCCGAAAGCCAACUCUACUCCGUGGCUUCUCCGGAAAACCGGAGUUACUAUUCACUUAAGUAAAACUAAUAAUCGCGUAACUUCUCCAUUCUAGCUCAUUUUCUCCUGAAACUUGACGAGUGCUUAUGUAAUUAAAUUACACACAUAAACAUCAUCAACAGAGAGUUUAGUUGCACUGUAAAAAAUCUCAGUCCUUACAAGUUACGCGACCAGGACCGAUGACUUAAAGUGAAUAGUAACUCCGGCUUUUCGGAUGAGCCAGUUAGUAAAGAAGGGUUCUGGUGCGUAUUGGUCUCCGAACAUAGGACUCCAAUAGCUCGUUUCGAACGACUCAACUAUUCUAAACCCAAUGGCAUUGACUGGAUUAGGUUCUGAAGCACGAUUUUCGAGAAAAAGGGAUUUGAGUGGAUUUAUAUAUAUAUGGUGUAUAUAUAUAUAUAUGUUUUAUAGUAGAUUAAAGAGGGUUGAUUUCGUCAUGAAUCGACAACCAAUCGGACGAAGCGAAAUGCUAGAUUCGAUGCCCCAGUCGUGCUGAACGCGCUGAUGCAAUCCGUUCGGAAAUCCGAUGGAUGGAUCCUCAGGAAACGUGAGAAGUUCAUUGAAGGGUUGAAUUGGCAAAAACGAAAAUUUCGCGAGAAGCCCUAUAUUUUAUGUACCGAAUUGCGUGAAAUCGGGCGACGAGGUGCGUGUGUGCAAAAUACACGCACUGUGAAGGUCUCAGUAUGAAAUACUAAGAUUCGGAGGACUUUUGUGCAAAAUGGCCAUUUGCAUAAAAGAUAUUUUUUAGGGUUUUCAAUGAGAAACCCUAACCCUAGAGGCCUUCUCCCUCAGCUGACCCCUCUGCCAUCCUCAGCAUCACCAUACCCGUGCCGCGCGCGCACCCCGGCCGCCGGCAGGUGCCCCGGUUGCUGGAAAAUCUGGGUUCGGCCUUUCCUCCAUCACUUCUACUACCUAACCACCUCCUCCUCUCCACCGUGGGCCACCCAGGAUAAUUCUCAACUUUCGGGCCCCUUCUUCAGCCAUGGCCUGACCUCCGGCAUCGUCCUCGCCGGCCUACGCCGCCUGCGCACGCAGCCAGAGCUCUUGUGGCCGCCUGGACCGAGUGCUGGCCGAGCCGAGGCCACCUUGGCCUCUGCGCGUCGCCAUCGCCUUUAAUCAGUCGGGCUGACUCACUAGGGCUUCCGGCGACCCUACGCGCGCCACUGCCGCAGUCCCCGUUGGCGCCGUCAUCCGCGGGCGCGCCGCCGUCGCCGUCUGGGCCAUCCGCGGGCAGCUUCUGCCAGCUUGGGCCGAGAAUGGCCGCAUUGCCUACCCGCGCCGCCGCCGCCGCCGGGAACCUCAUCGGCGGCCUCCCUCGUGACCACCGGCACCCCCGCGUCCGGCCCGAAAGGCCGCCGUCGCCACCGUACGCCUUGGGCGCCGUCGCAGCGACCCACGGCCGAGCCGAACUCGGGUAGCCGCGCCUGAGCUGCGGGCCACCGCCACCGUCGCGCGGAGCCGCCAUUCCACUCCUUGUAACCACGGAGGAGCGCCGCGACCACCCCGCGGUAGCUCGAGCUCCGCCAUGGCUGGAGUUGGUGGUUGGAGCUUCCUCCUAACCCGUGCGGGCUCAGUCUUCCCCCACGCCGCCGCUGCCACCUUUCGCCGCCGGCCGGGCCGGCCGAGCACCGGCUCCGCCUGGUCGGACGCACUCAUCCUGCCGCCGGCUCCCCGCCGCCGGAGCUCCCUGCCGGCCGGAUCUGGACCAUGCUUUCCUCGGGUAGCUUAGCCUAGGGCAUCAAUUGCUGUCGUCACGGCCACCUUUCGACACCGGCCAACGCAUCCCCCAGCCUUCCUGCAUCGCCUGAACUCUCCUGCCGCCGGCUCUCCCGCCGUCCGGCCGCCGCCGGCCAGCCCUAGCUCUCCCCUGGCCGGUAAGCUUGAUUUCAGCCUUUCUGCGCAUAGUUUCCUGUUCUGGUCACUGUUCCGGCGACUCGAGGCUGUUCCGAUGCCUCCGGGGGUGAGCAUGGUGAUCGUCUGUCAGUCCUGAUCACAGUGCUCACCUCAUUUAGAGUACAACAAGCCCCUGGUUAGCGAGAUAAGCAUGCUUUUCCU